CAGUGGCCAAAGGGUUAGGAAGAACAUGGUAGAAUAGUGGCAUUACACAGGCCAGAGAAAGAAAAUGUUCAUGUUUCCUAUGGGAGACACUUUUAUUUCAGUUUAUUUAUUUGUAUAAGUAUUAUUUACUUGUAUAAAAGCCUUGUGGGGAAAGCCUUGUGGAAGGAACUCUACCUUCACCUUCUAAUCAUACAAGUUUCAGGAACACUUCAUUCAAGGUUGUCAUGGAAACACCGUAAUUCUCAAUUCCAAGGCCAGGACAUCUAUCCAGAUCCUCGUAAAGUGCUAAAAAACACGUAUAGUAGCAAAUCAAAACAAUGAAAAUCAUAAGUGAACUGAAGACAACUUCUCAAACUAAAAAGCACAAAGAUAUGAAAUUAUACUUGUGCUAUGCCAGACAUUUUAAAAGCUAACAUUUCAUACUCAGGUCAUGGAUCUCACAGUUUGUGGG